rnacentral:rRNA from 1 species
AUUGAACGCUGGCGGCAUGCCUAACACAUGCAAGUCGAGCGGAUGAAGGAGAAUUGCUCCUCUCUUCAGUUACCGACGGGUGAGUAAUGCCUAGGUAUCUGCCCUGUCGAUAGGACUAACGUCCCUUCACGGGCGCUAAUCCAGCAUACGUCCUUAGGUUGAACGUGAUGGAUCUUCGGUCCUAACGCUACUAGCUGACCCUAGGUCGGAUUAGCUAGUUGGUGAGGUAAAGGCCUACCAAGGCGACGAUCCAUAACUACUCUGAGAGGGUGAUCUGCCACACUGGAACUGAGACACGGUCCAGACUCCUACGGGAGGCAGCAGUAGGGAAUAUUCGGCAAUGGGCGAAAGCCUGACCGAGCAACGCCGCGUGAGUGAUGAAGGUCUUCGGAUCGUAAAACUCUGUUAGUAGGGAGGAACAUAAGUGAAUGAAAAUGUGGACGUUUUGACGGUACCUAAAGAGAAAGCAACGGCUAACUUCGUG